UACAGAGGUCUCGAGCGUUGUUCGGAUUCAUUGGGCGUAAAGGGUGCGUAGGUGGCAGGGUAAGUCGGAUGUGAAAUCCCGGAGCUUAACUCCGGAACUGCAUUCGAUACUGCCUUGCUAGAGUACUGGAGAGGAGAUCGGAAUUUACGGUGUAGCAGUGAAAUGCGUAGAUAUCGUAAGGAAGACCAGUGGCGAAGGCGGAUCUCUGGACAGUUACUGACACUGAGGCACGAAGGCCAGGGGAGCAAACGGG
rnacentral:rRNA from 1 species